rnacentral:misc_RNA from 1 species
GACGCCGCUCGAGCCCGCUUUCGCGUGGGCUCGGUGUUGAGGCACUAGGAAUAGGCAAACCUCCUAGGCCUUUAAAAUCAUUGUGCGGCCCCCGCUACAGGACCCGAGCACAGUAGACCUCUCAUGUUGAGCUGCUCUGGGCCCCGCGCGGCGGUGCCAGCCAUAAAAACCCCGACACAGGCUCCCGCUUUUCAACCGGGAAGCCGUCUGA